AAUAGAUACCCGGGUAGUCCACGCCGUAAACGAUGGAUACUAGCUGUUUGAGCGCAAGUUUGAGUGGCUAAGCGAAAGUGAUAAGUAUCCCACCUGGGGAGUACGGGCGCAAGCCUGAAACUCAAAGGAAUUGACGGGGGCCCGCACAAGCGGUGGAGCAUGUGGUUUAAUUCGAUGAUACGCGAGGAACCUUACCAGGGCUUAAAUGUAGAUUGACGUAUUUGGAAACAGAUAUUUCUUCGGACAAUUUACAAGGUGCUGCAUGGUUGUCGUCAGCUCGUGCCGUGAGGUGUCAGGUUAAGUCCUAUAACGAGCGCAACCCCUGUUGUUAGUUGCCAGCGAGUAAUGUCGGGAACUCUAGCAAGACUGCCAGUGUAAACUGUGAGGAAGGUGGGGAUGACGUCAAAUCAUCACGGCCCUUACGUCCUGGGCCACACACGUGCUACAAUGGCCGGUACAGAGAGCAGCCACUUAGCGAUAAGGAGCGAAUCUAUAAAGCCGGUCACAGUUCGGAUCGGAGU
rnacentral:rRNA from 1 species